AACCACGCUACAGAGUGGGACUAAGCCAUGCGAGUUACGUAGCAAUACGUGGCAUACGGCUCAGUAACACGUAGUCAACAUGCCCAGAGGACGUGGAUAACCUCGGGAAACUGAGGAUAAACCGCGAUAAGUCAUGAUUCCUGGAAUGGUUCAUGGCUGAAAUCUAUAUGGCCUUUGGAUUGGACUGCGGCCGAUCAGGCUGUUGGUGAGGUAAUGGCCCACCAAACCUGUUACCGGUACGGGCUCUGAGAGGAGGAGCCCGGAGAUGGGCACUGAGACAAGGGCCCAGGCCCUAUGGGGCGCAGCAGGCGCGAAACCUCUGCAAUAGGCGAAAGCUUGACAGGGUUACUCUGAGUGAUUUCCGUUAAGGAGAUCUUUUGACACCUCUAAAAAUGGUGUAGAAUAAGGGGUGGGCAAGUCUGGUGUCAGCCGCCGCGGUAAUACCAGCACCCCGAGUGGUCGGGACGAUUAUUGGGCCUAAAGCAUCCGUAGCCGGUCCUACAAGUCUUCCGUUAAAUCCACCUGCUCAACAGAUUGGGCUUGCGGAAGAUACUAUAGGGGCUAGGAGGCGGGAAAAGGCAAGCGGUACUCAGUGGGUAGGGGUUAA
rnacentral:rRNA from 1 species